CUCGCCUGCCCGUCCGUUGUUUUGUUCCUGCCUCCUGCUUGCACGUAUUGUCAGGAAUCCGGGGGAUUUGUGUUCUGUUCGGCCUCCAACGCUCAGGUCAAGAUCCUCAGACUUCUCCUGCUUCUCUGCCUUCCAUCUCCACCUCACACAUCUGGACCUAAUCUCUGGAUUCUGCUCAUUCCCCUGGCGUCAUCAUCUGCAGCUACAAUGAUGCUGCAGUCCCAUUCCCCAGAGAAGUACACGGUCAAGAUCAAGAUCUCACUAACCAUUUUCGUAAUUGUAUUCAAUAAACCUUUUGAAAUCUUUUCAGUCUACUGAGAGUGUUGUGGAUAUGGGUCAGGCAGUUAAACAAAACCAUGACAUGUAUCUUCUAAUGU